rnacentral:lncRNA from 1 species
CCAAAACCAAUCUUAAAAGCCACUAUCAAAAGGAAAUUAAAGUUAUGCAAAUUCUAUAAUCUUUUUAAACAACCUCUUCUCAAGGUAAUAAUCAAAUUAUAUUCUAAAACCAAUUAAAAUCUAUUAACAUAGCUCUCACCAUAUUAUUUAAUAAAUUAUAUACUAAGUACAUAAUUAUAUUAUUUUUAUAUAGUAGCCGAACCACAACACGACAACGCAUCAUCAGAUCUUCAUUCAACAAAUCUAAUUCCUAUAUCUGAGACUCAAGAUGGUAAUUUGGUUGAUGCGCUCCUCCAACCUCUUCUUUCAUUCUUCUCUUGGUUUCAAAGGUAUCUCCGAAGGUGUUGUCGCUAAAACUGGUGUAUUGGUUUUGCUCUUAAUUAUUGGCCUCCUUCGCUAACCUGGAUAGUUUACUCUGCAACAUCGCAACCUCUACCUGCAGUCGUUCUUGUCGUUCCUUCCAAUCGAUUUCUAUCCUUGCUUUCUUAGACACCGUGUUCGCCAUCUUCCCAUUUUCCACCAUCCACUUCUCCUUAACCACAAAAGAAAACACGAUGCUUGUCAAGAGCCCCCC